AUUUCAGUUGUGAGUCUGAUUAAUUUCAGCGAAAGACUUUCCUUUUGUCAUUAAUUUCGCGGCCUGCCUGCGACUUUCUUAGUGAAAAUCUUUCUCAUGUCUAGUGAAUUUAUUCAAGCUGAUUUCACCAUGGUGGUACUUUUACCAAUGAAGCCAAGCCAAAAUACGUAGAUGAAUGAGACGUGGAAAUCAACGGUAGUGAAGAAGAUCACUUUCUGUUGGUUGAAUUGCAGUUUUAUUCUAAAGAUCAUGCGUACAAUACUGUUGGUGGUUUCAAUGUUUUGAACCAAGAGACAAAAGACUUUGUUUUGUUGGAAAAAGACCCUCAACUUUAUAAUA